GCGAACGAUCAUCCUUGAUCUUCUACCCUCAAACCACUGUGGAUGAUGUAUGUGCUUCGGUGUCGGAAGGCACCGUCUUUAUGCUUCCAUCUAGUCUUUAUUGUCUGCUUGUGGCAAAUGUCA
rnacentral:misc_RNA from 1 species